rnacentral:sRNA from 1 species
AUAUUAUUGAUUGCUCUUCUACCUUUUGUAG